CCUAAAGUGUAACGGAGGCGCCCAAAGGUUCCCUCAGAAUGGUUGGAAAUCAUUCGUAGAGUGCAAAGGCAUAAGGGAGCUUGACUGCGAGACCUACAAGUCGAGCAGGGACGAAAGUCGGGCUUAGUGAUCCGGUGGUUCCGCAUGGAAGGGCCAUCGCUCAACGGAUAAAAGCUACCCCGGGGAUAACAGGCUUAUCUCCCCCAAGAGUCCACAUCGACGGGGAGGUUUGGCACCUCGAUGUCGGCUCAUCGCAUCCUGGGGCUGUAGUCGGUCCCAAGGGUUGGGCUGUUCGCCCAUUAAAGCGGUACGCGAGCUGGGUUCAGAACGUCGUGAGACAGUUCGGUCCCUAUCCGUCGUGGGCGUAGGAAAUUUGAGAGGAGCUGUCCUUAGUACGAGAGGACCGGGAUGGACGCACCGCUGGUGUACCAGUUGUUCUGCCAAGGGCAUAGCUGGGUAGCUAUGUGCGGAAGGGAUAAGUGCUGAAAGCAUCUAAGCAUGAAGCCCCCCUCAAGAUGAGAUUUCCCAUAGCGUAAGCUAGUAAGAUCCCUGAAAGAUGAUCAGGUUGAUAGGUUCGAGGUGGAAGCAUGGUGACAUGUGGAGCUGACGAAUACUAAUAGAUCGAGGACUUAACCAU
rnacentral:rRNA from 1 species